rnacentral:lncRNA from 1 species
GGUACCUUAAGAAACAAGCUAAAUACCAAAAUUCUAUAAAGAUAGCACCUUUACUAGGAAUUAUCAUCAGGGUAUUUUAAGAAAAGACAUUAAUCAAACAAAUAAACAGAAUAAAAAAGAAAAAAAGUCAAAAAGUUUAGAGGACUCACAAGUGUUGUAAAUAGCGCUCACCUCAGCGCUAAUAGCGUGAGGCGAGGCGAGGCGAGGGUGUAUCGCCACAAAGGGUCUGUUACGAUGCGAUUGGAAAUAGUGCUCGCCUCAUGGUGUGAGGAGUGAAGCGAGUUUAUUGCGUGUAGCGAUUGUGGCGUCGCUUUAUUAAAAAAGAAAAAAGAGAAAGGUCUGACUUAGGUUGGGAAAUUAGGGCUUUUCACCUGCGAACAAAACAACUUCAGAAAUUAGGGCUUCUUCACCUUCAAGCUUCUACAUGUAUGCUUCUUC